rnacentral:rRNA from 1 species
UGCAAGUCGAACGGCAGCACGGGGGCAUCCCUGGUGGCGAGUGGCGAACGGGUGAGUAAUACAUCGGAACGUGCCCUGUAGUGGGGGAUAACUAGUCGAAAGAUUAGCUAAUACCGCAUACGACCUGAGGGUGAAAGCGGGGGACCGCAAGGCCUCGCGCUACAGGAGCGGCCGAUGUCUGAUUAGCUAGUUGGUGGGGUAAAAGCCUACCAAGGCGACGAUCAGUAGCUGGUCUGAGAGGACGAUCAGCCACACUGGGACUGAGACACGGCCCAGACUCCUACGGGAGGCAGCAGUGGGGAAUUUUGGACAAUGGGGGCAACCCUGAUCCAGCAAUGCCGCGUGUGUGAAGAAGGCCUUCGGGUUGUAAAGCACUUUUGUCCGGAAAGAAAUGGCUCUGGUUAAUACCCGGGGUCGAUGACGGUACCGGAAGAAUAAGCACCGGCUAACUACGUGCCAGCAGCCGCGGUAAUACGUAGGGUGCGAGCGUUAAUCGGAAUUACUGGGCGUAAAGCGUGCGCAGGCGGUUUUGUAAGACAGGCGUGAAAUCCCCGAGCUCAACUUGGGAAUGGCGCUUGUGACUGCAAGGCUAGAGUAUGUCAGAGGGGGGUAGAAUUCC